rnacentral:rRNA from 1 species
UGAUCUAUCCAUGGCCAGGAUGAAGGUGCCGUAACAGGUACUGGAGGUCCGAACCGACUAGUGUUGCAAAAUUAGCGGAUGAGCUGUGGAUAGGGGUGAAAGGCUAAACAAACUUGGAAAUAGCUGGUUCUCUCCGAAAACUAUUUAGGUAGUGCCUCAAGUAUUACCUUCGGGGGUAGAGCACUGUUUAGGCUAGGGGGUCAUGGCGACUUACCAACCCUAUGCAAACUCCGAAUACCGAAGAGUACAGCGCGGGAGACAGAGCACCGGGUGCUAACGUCCGGACUCAAGAGGGAAACAACCCAGACCGCCAGCUAAGGUCCCUAAAAUUGGCUAAGUGGGAAACGAAGUGGGAAGGCUAAAACAGUCAGGAUGUUGGCUUAGAAGCAGCCAUCAUUUAAAGAAAGCGUAAUAGCUCACUGAUCGAGUCGUCCUGCGCGGAAGAUGUAACGGGGCUAAGCCAGUUACCGAAGCUGCGGAUGUGCAAUUUAUUGCACGUGGUAGGAGAGCGUUGUGUAAGCCUGUGAAGGUGUCUGGUAACGGAUGCUGGAGGUAUCACAAGUGCGAAUGCUGACAUGAGUAGCGUUAAAGCGGGUGAAAAGCCCGCUCGCCGUAAGCGCAAGGUUUCCUACGCAACGUUCAUCGGCGUAGGGUGAGUCGGCCCCUAAGGCGAGGCAGAGAUGCGUAGCUGAUGGGAAACAGGUCAAUAUUCCUGUACCGAUCAAUAGUGCGAUGUGGGGACGGAGAAGGUUAGCUCAGCCAACUGUUGGAUAUGUUGGUUCAAGCCUGUAGUCGUGCCCGGUAGGCAAAUCCGCCGGGCUUAGAUGAGGGGUGAUAACGAGUGUGCUUGCACACGAAGUGAGUGAUACCCUGCUUCCAGGAAAAGCCACUAAGCUUCAGCUAUUGACGACCGUACCGCAAACCGACACUGGUGCGCGAGAUGAGUAUUCUAAGGCGCUUGAGAGAACUCAGGAGAAGGAACUCGGCAAAUUGAUACCGUAACUUCGGGAGAAGGUAUGCCGCAAGUAGGUGAACUUGUACAAGGGGAGCCCAAAGCGGUUGCAAAAAAUCGGUGGCUGCGACUGUUUAAUAAAAACACAGCACUCUGCAAACACGAAAGUGGACGUAUAGGGUGUGACGCCUGCCCGGUGCUGGAAGAUUAAAUGAUGGGGUGCAAGCUCUUGAUUGAAGUCCCAGUAAACGGCGGCCGUAACUAUAACGGUCCUAAGGUAGCGAAAUUCCUUGUCGGGU